CUCAAGUUCAGAGGUCAAUUAUGGUGUCUC
rnacentral:piRNA from 1 species